rnacentral:misc_RNA from 1 species
GGAUCAUCCAGGGGUGAACUGUAUGCCUUAUUGAGCCAUACUGCAAACCAGACAGUUCCUAAAGAACCAAAAGAAAAGAAGACAGAAGGCCAGCCAAAUUGUUUUAUGAGGAAUGGGGAAAAUGCUAAUCCAGUAACAGAUCCAAGAUACAUUCCACUAUAGACGAGUGCGAGAGAUCUACUUCUUUCUGAUACAGGAACCCAUUUAGAGAGAAUGUUAUUCAUUGCUGGCAUAGCAACACCCUCACCAAUUCCCAUGAAAGCUCGAACAACAAAUAAAAAGGGCAAUCCAAGCUUAGCAGCAAUGGGGGUGAGAACUGUAGCAACAGACCACCAGAUUACUCCAAAUCCCAAGACAGCCUUGCCACCAACAGUGUCU